rnacentral:tRNA from 1 species
UUUAUAAAGGAUAAAAGCAAUCCAUUGACCUUAGACGUCAAUAAUCCUGGUGCAACCCCAUGUAUAAGU